UUUUUGGGCAAUAGGGGGCAGAAGCCGGAGGAAGAGACACUCUCUAAGCAUUGAACCAAAAGCUAUCCAGAUAGAACACUGUCAAGGAUAAGCAGAAACUGUCCGUUGUUCAAUGACUUCAUUUGAAUCAGAACUAACAACCACCACAACAAAGAGUCCCCAUUGGCUGAAUACAACUGGAAACCGGAAGUCAAGUUGGACCAGCCUCCAUGCACACAAAGUAAGAUUGAGAAGUCUGCUGUCUGCCAGAGGGGACCUGGAGGAGCAUAGGGAAGCUAUCUAGCACAGGAUGUUGCUGCAACUUUUAGGAAAAAAGCCACCACCAUCUGAGCUUAAAUCACAGCUUGUCAUACACUGUGUGCUGUAUGACUUUGUGGAAGCCACAUGGCUGCUCUAAGCCAUGACAAUGUCUUAUUCUGUUAAAAUGAGGGAAAUAAUAUCUCUGUGAGACUCGUCAGUAUGUGUAACAUUUAGCCCAGUGCCUAGCACACAGUAAGUGCUGGAUACCUGAUAAGUUACUUUCCCUCCUCCAUAAAACCUAUUCCCUGCUUGCCUCUUUUAAACCAAGCCUAGAUAUCAACUUUCUUUUUCAAUGUUAGCAUGCAUUAGAGAAAUCCUCUUAUUUCUACAAGCCCUGGGCAAGUUUCAGGAUCAUUUAUAUAUCAGAUGUAGCACAGUAAUAAUUGCCUUAAGUCAGGAUAUUACUUAAGCAGAAAGCAUUUAUUUUUUAAUUCUUCAGAAAUGCUGCACAUACUGCAGGGACUAAUUUGACUCUUAGCAAAUAAUUCAACAUAAAUUGCCACCUAUUUACCAGAAGCCGCAUUUUAUUUCCUAGGACCUCUAGACAUUAGGCAUCAGCUGUGCCCUGUAUGUUUGUUUCAGGUAAUGAGAUGCCCAGCAUGCAGAAAAUUUUCACUGCUUUGCCAUUUGCAGAAGCUCAAAAGAUUUACGAUAAACCAGUUGCUCAUUCCAAGGAUUAGAGCAUUUUUAAUUAUAAAACUGCACACCAAUUUGCAAUGUCAUUUCCAAGUUCUGAUGGAAAGUCUCUAAUGUAUUUCUCUUCUCAUUUAAUGUUUUUAUCCAUUAUCCUCUAGGCUGGAAUAUUUUCUGUUAUCCUAUUCACCCAGAGUAAUUCCAAAACAAUGGAGGCAAGGUCUCCAGAGGCAUCUGGACUGUGUCCAGGAUGCAGGCUUUCUCUGUGGUGCUCUGAUGACAAGGGGAAAAAAUCAAGGACGUUGAGCGCAGUUUUGAAAAAGGCUCACAAAAUGAUCAUAAUGCUUAAAUGUGUAUCCACUUCCUACUUUACUAAGUAACUUCAUAGCCAUUAUGUCAACUGAGGUGGGACAGGAAAAAUUACCUGCUUGCUCUUAACAGACGAGUAAACCAGUUCUACGAGAUGUUAAGUAGUUUGUCCAAGGCCUUCCAAUAAUUUGGGUUGGCAAAGGAUGAGAAUAUAUGUCUUGCAAUUAUUCUAAAGUGCUUAUCCAGGAAUGAAAAAGUAAACUUACUAAACUGACAUCCUAGAGUCACUUGCUGACUGCCUGCUGUCUGUAAAAGAAUGAAAUAAAGACUUCCAGAGCUUUAACAUCAAAAAAGAAAGCAGAGCACCUGUAGUCCCAGCUACUUGAGAGGAUCACAUGAGCCAGGAGUUGGAGGCUGCAGUGAGCAGUGACCACAACACAGCAUUUCAGCCUGGGUGACAGAGCAAGACUCUGUCAUCAGUUAAAAAAAAAAAAUAAAUAAAUAAAUAAAUAAACACUGACUAGUUUGCUGAGGGGGAAAGUCAGAAUUUUGUAAAUGCUGUAGAAGUGGAGGGGAUUCAAGGUGGUUAUGCUAAUUAAGCCCUAAAAACUAAUGUUCUGAAGAGGACAGAGCCAGACCAUAAGUCUUACAUGACUGGUUAAAACAACACCUAUUGCUCGUCGGUUGGGGGAAUCUUCAGUUAGGCCCAGUAAGGGUCUCUGUGAGGGCAGGUGGGUCACUAAAAGUUGACAUUCCUUUAUCAGCUUCAGCAGGUUGCAAUAGUUAAGCCCAGGAUUCACUUUUGACAUCUUCACAAACUCUCAAACUUCUCAAACGUUCAUCAGAAUCCCUUGGAGGGUUUCCUGGGCCCAACCCGAGAGUUUCUAAUUCAGCAGGUCUGGAGUAAAACUUCAGAAUCUGCAAUUCUAUCAAGCACCCAAAUGGUGCUUUGCAGCUGGUUCAGGGUCCAUGCUUUGAGAACCACUAUCCUAGACACAUGAUGCUCUAGAGUUUUAAUUUGAUACCAACCUCCUCUUUAGGAUCUAACUACUAAAUGACUCUCUCACGCCCAGGAAGGACAGUGAUUUCUCCUCAUAAUAGCCUUCAUAUCCACUUAUGGAAGACUUGGCUUUUCUUGUAACAGUAGCUCUCGGAGCACGGAACUAUUGUAUGGAGGAG